rnacentral:rRNA from 1 species
AACGAACGCUGGCGGCGCGCUUAACACAUGCAAGUCGAACGAGAAGCUGUAGCAAUACAGUUGUACAGUGGCGAACGGGUGAGGAAUACAUGGGCAACCUACCCUCGAGCGGGGAAUAACCAGCCGAAAGGUUGGCUAAUACCGCGUACGCUUCCGGGUCUGCGGAUUCGGAAGGAAAGCCAUGCCGUGGGUAUGGCGCUCAAGGAUGGGCUCAUGUCCUAUCAGCUUGUUGGUGAGGUAACGGCUCACCAAGGCAACGACGGGUAGCUGGUCUGAGAGGACGAUCAGCCACACUGGCACUGCGACACGGGCCAGACUCCUACGGGAGGCAGCAGUGAGGAAUAUUGCGCAAUGGGCGAAAGCCUGACGCAGCGACGCCGCGUGGGGGAUGAAGGUCUUCGGAUUGUAAACCCCUUUCGGGAGGGAAGAUGGGACGAGCAAUCGUUCGGACGGUACCUCCAGAAGCAGCCACGGCUAACUUCGUGCCAGCCGCCGCUGUAAUAC